UACGGAGGAUGCGAGCGUUAUCCGGAUUUAUUGGGUUUAAAGGGUGCGUAGGCGGGCUGUUAAGUCAGCGGUCAAAUGUCGGGGCUCAACCCCGGCCUCCGUUGAAACUGGCGGCCUCGAGUGGGCGAGAAGUAUGCGGAAUGCGUGGUGUAGCGGUGAAAUGCAUAGAUAUCACGCAGAACUCCGAUUGCGAAGGCAGCAUACCGGCGCUCAACUGACGCUCAGGCACGAAAGCGUGGGUAUCGAACAGG
rnacentral:rRNA from 1 species